rnacentral:tRNA from 1 species
GCCCGCGUAGUGUAGUGGUUAGCACUCAUCCCUGUCACGGAUGCAACCCGAGUUCGAGUCUCGGCGCGGGCG